GACGAACGCUGGCGGCGUGCUUAACACAUGCAAGUCGAACGGAAAGGCCUGCUUUCCCUUGUGGAUUGCGGGUACUCGAGUGGCGAACGGGUGAGUAACACGUGAGUGAUCUGCCCCCAACUUGGGUAUAAGCCUGGGAAACUGGGUCUAAUUCCCGAUAGGACUGCAGGGUGGUGCCUGUGGUGGAAAACGAUUUUCUAGUGGUUGGGGAUGAGCUCGCGGCCUAUCAGCUUGUUGGUGGGGUAAUGGCCUACCAAGGCGGCGACGGGUAGCCGGCGUGAGAGGGUGGACGGCCACAUUGGGACUGAGAUACGGCCCAGACUCCUACGGGAGGCAGCAGUGGGGAAUAUUGCACAAUGGGCGGAAGCCUGAUGCAGCGACGCCGCGUGGGGGAUGACGGCCUUCGGGUUGUAAACUCCUUUCGACCGCGAGGAAGCCACCUGGUUGGAAGGGUGGUGACGGUAGUGGUAGAAGAAGCACCGGCUAACUACGUG
rnacentral:rRNA from 1 species